AGUGAACGCUGGCGGUAGGCCUAACACAUGCAAGUCGAACGGCAGCACAGUAAGAGCUUGCUCUUACGGGUGGCGAGUGGCGGACGGGUGAGGAAUACAUCGGAAUCUACUUUUUCGUGGGGGAUAACGUAGGGAAACUUACGCUAAUACCUCAUACUACCUACGGCUGAAAUCAGGGGAUCUUCGGACCUUGCGCGAUUGAAUUAGCCGAUGUCGGAUUAGCUAGUUGGCGUGGUAAAGUCCCACCAAGGCGACGAUCCGUAGCUGACCUGAGAGGAUGAUCGGCCACACUGGAACUGAGACACGGUCCAGACUCCUACGGGAGGCAGCAGUGGGGAAUAUUGCGCAAUGGGCGAAAGCCUGACGGAGCAAUGCCGCGUGAGUGAAGAAGGUCUUCGGGUCGUAAAACUCUGUUGUUAGGGAAGAACAGAUGUGGAUUAAACUGCGGAUGUCUUGACGGUACCUAAACAGAAAGCAACGGCUAACUUCGUG
rnacentral:rRNA from 1 species